ACCCCAGUACAGCCCAGUACAGCCCACACAACCCCAGUACAGCCCAGUACAACCCCAGAGCAACCCAGCACAACCCAGCACAACCCAGCACAACCCAGCACAACCCAGUACAACCCAGUACAACCCCACAGCAACCCCAGCACAACCCCACACAACCCCAGCACCAGCUCCUUCAGACAUCCAGCACAGCCAGGCUCCUGGUCACCCCAAACCUGGAGCAGGGUCACCCCAAAA